CUGUGAACGGGUGGUAAUGCUGGAUGCUCCAACUUGACGCAUGUCUUGUUGGGAAAGUGUUUAGUGGCAUGGGAUGGGGUCGCGUCCUAUCAGCUUGUAGGCGGGGUAAUGGCCCACCUAGGCUUCGACGGGUAGCCGGCCUGAGAGGGCGGACGGCCACAUUGGGACUGAGAUACGGCCCAGACUCCUACGGGAGGCAGCAGGU
rnacentral:rRNA from 1 species